GACAGAGGGUGCGAACGUUGCUCGGAAUUACUGGGCGUAAAGCGCGUGCAGGUGGUCCUCCACGUCCGGUGUGAAAGCCCGGGGCUCAACCCCGGAAGCGCGCUGGAUACGAGGGGACUCGAGGGCUGGAGAGGCGGGCGGAAUUCCCGGUGUAGAGGUGAAAUUCGUAGAUAUCGGGAGGAACACCGGUGGCGAAGGCGGCCCGCUGGACAGCGCCUGACACUGAGACGCGAAAGCGUGGGUAGCAAACAGG
rnacentral:rRNA from 1 species